AAGGUUGUGCUUUCAGGGAUCAUUUCUGUAGUUGGUAACUAGAGAAGUGUGGCUGAAAGUGAUUGGUUUUACUAGCCACAGUGAAGAGUCAUAGUGUUCUCUUCUGAGCAUGAAGCAAGUUGGUAGUACUGCCUGUAUACAGUUGCUACUUUUCUCUUGAUGAUUGUUCCAUUCCUGUUGGGGAGCUAGAGGGAAAGGACACAUGCUGAGUGGU
rnacentral:snoRNA from 1 species